rnacentral:rRNA from 1 species
GACGAACGCUGGCGGCGUGCUUAACACAUGCAAGUCGAGCGGAAAGGCCCUUCGGGGUACUCGAGCGGCGAACGGGUGAGUAACACGUGAGUAACCUGCCCCAGACUUUGGGAUAACCCUCGGAAACGGGGGCUAAUACCGGAUACGACACAGCUUCGCAUGGGGUCUGUGUGGAAAGUUUUUCGGUUUGGGAUGGGCUCGCGGCCUAUCAGCUUGUUGGUGGGGUGAUGGCCUACCAAGGCGACGACGGGUAGCCGGCCUGAGAGGGCGACCGGCCACACUGGGACUGAGACACGGCCCAGACUCCUACGGGAGGCAGCAGUGGGGAAUAUUGCACAAUGGGCGGAAGCCUGAUGUAGCGACGCCGCGUGAGGGAUGACGGCCUUCGGGUUGUAAACCUCUUUCAGCAGGGACGAAGCGUAAGUGACGGUACCUGCAGAAGAAGCGCCGGCCAACUACGUG